rnacentral:rRNA from 1 species
CGGCAACAGCUCAAAUUUGAAAUCUGGCCUUGGCCCGAGUUGUAAUUUGUAGAGGAUGUUUCUGGCGCGGCGCCUUCCGAGUUCCCUGGAACGGGACGCCAUAGAGGGUGAGAGCCCCGUACGGUCGCGCGCUAAGCCUCUGUGAAACUCCUUCGAC